rnacentral:rRNA from 1 species
AUGGCGAAACAUUUAUACAAAACACCUAUCCCGAGCACACGCAAGGGAACCGUAGACAGGCAAGUGAAAUCCAAUCCACGAAAUAAUUUGAUCCAUGGACGGCACCAUUGUGGUAAUGGUCGUAAUUCCAGAGGAAUCAUUACCGCAAGGCAUAGAGGGGGAGGUCAUAAGCGCCUAUACCAUAAAAUAGAUUUUCGACGGAAUCAAAAAGACAUAUCUGGUAGAAUCGUAACCAUAGAAUAUGGCCCUAAUCGAAAUGCAUACAUUUGUCUCAUACACUAUGGGGAUGGUGAGAAGAGAUAUAUUUUACAUCCUAGAGGGGCUAUAAUUGGAGAUACUAUUGUUUUUGGAACAAAAGUUCCUAUAUCAAUGGGAAAUGCUCUACCUUUGAGUGCGGUUUGA